rnacentral:ncRNA from 1 species
AUCAAUACUACGAUGAGGAAAGUAAGCCAUGGUACAUUUACAGAGAAAGAAUACAUUAGCUGGAAGUAUUCUUAAAUGAAAUUAGCUGAAGACUACCUCUGAGCGGCUUCAACAAAGCCCGGUAAUUCCGUUAUAAUUAUUAAGUGGUUUAUUAUAUAAACAAUUUGGGUGGAACCGCGGGAAAUUAUAAUCUCGUCCCAAUU